AUUACGCUGCAUUGUACGUAAUGAUAAUUAAGUUUUAACCUUUAAGCUGUAAUAGGGAGUUUUAUAUCGGAACCGGAAUGUCAUGCCUUCCUCGAAAGGACGACAGGAAACGUUUCUGCAGACACCCACUUUGAGGAGUGUGGUUUAAAACUUUCUUACUUGCAUACGGCAAUUGCAGCACUUAA
rnacentral:other from 1 species